AGGGUUCCUGGCCCUGAGUGCUCACAGAGGGGAGGCUCCAAAGGCUAACACACUGAUUUUUGGGAUUUUUCCCAGACAAAUUCUCCUCUCUUCAGACCCAAAGCUGCAGGUCCAGCUCUCCAAACCCAGCACCAGGAUCAAACCCUUUCCCACCUUUCCCCUCCCAGCCCCAGUGCUCCAGGAGCUCUGCCCUGGCAGAUUCCACAGUGCUCUCCAAAAGCUCUGAAAUUGCCACAGGCUUCAAACCCAAAUUCCCACUCACUUUUAAUGGACUCCAAGGUAAAUUUGCUCAGGCCCAGCCUCCUGGAAAGCAAAUUUGCCCAGCCCUGAGCAGGUGUGAGCAGAGCUGCCAGCCUGGCUGCAUCCAUCACCACCCUGCAGAAUCCUCAAACACAACCCUCACAUGGGGAAAAGGGGAAAUGGGAAUUUAUUUAACAUUUAUAUCUUCUCUUUAUUGCAGCAAAUGCGUUUUAUGUCCCAGAGAUGAAAUAUGGAGCACGAGGCCCAUCCAUGAGCAGCUCAGCCCCAGUUUUGUUUAGUAAAUCAUUUGCUGAUGGCUUUGGAGAGGAUCCAUCAAUCUUUCCUGGAUUGCUCCUUUCAGAUCCUCAGCUUUUGCAGGAAUCUUCAUCUGCAUAUUCAGACACUGGGAGAGUGACACCAGUUAUCUCAAAGACUGGAAAAAAGUUCUGGCUUUCAGCUCCUGAGGAUCUGGGAUCUGGUUUUGGAGGAUUUGGGAUGUGAGAGCUGCCCCCAGGAAGAAAAAGGUCUGGGAAAGAGGGGCAGGUCAGAGGGGAGUGACUUGGAACCACUGGGAGGAGGAUCAUGGCAAAACUCCCAGGGGGAUUCCCAGAACAUCUGAUCCAGGGGAGAGAGGGGACAGCCCUGAUUCCCAGAGCUCUGUCCCUGCCCUCAUUCCCAGCUCUGUCCAUUCCUCAUUCCCAAUCCUGUCCAUUCCCAGAGCCCUGUCCAUCCCCAGCCCUGUCCAUUCCCAGCCCUGUCCAUUCCCAGAGCUCUGUCCAUUCCCAGAGUUCUGUCCAUUCCCAGAGUUCUGUUCAUUCCCAGCCCUGUCCAUCCCCAGCCCUGGCCAUUCCCCAGCCCUGUCCAUUCCCAGAGUUCUGUCCAUCCCCAGCCCUGUCCAUUCCCAGCCCUGUCCAUCCCCAGC